rnacentral:rRNA from 1 species
AAAUGAAUUGACGGGGGCCCGCACAAGCAGUGGAGUAUGUGGUUUAAUUCGAAGCAACGCGAAGAACCUUACCAGGUCUUGACAUCUACCGGAUCCUGUGGAAACACGGGAGUGCUUUUCGGAGAGCGGUAAGACAGGUGGUGCAUGGUUGUCGUCAGCUCGUGUCGUGAGAUGUUGGGUUAAGUCCCGCAACGAGCGCAACCCUUACGGUUAGUUGCUACGCGAGAGCACUCUAGCCGGACUGCCGUUGAUAAAACGGAGGAAGGUGGGGACGACGUCAAAUCAUCAUGCCCUUUAUGAUCUGGGCUACACACGUACUACAAUGGCGGUAAACAGAGGGAAGCAAUAUGGCGACAUGGAGCGAAUCCCUAAAAGCCGUCUCAGUUCGGAUUGCAGGCUGAAACUCGCCUGCAUGAAGUCGGAAUUGCUAGUAAUCGCGGAUCAGCAUGCCGCGGUGAAUACGUUCCCGGGCCUUGUACACACCGCCCGU